CAACCAAACAACAUGAAUUUUUUUUAUCCCAUCACUAUUUUUUUUUAAUCUCUCACACCAAACGAGCUUAGAGCUCCAUUCGUCCUGUAUUAAUUUCUUAAAGUCCGUGUAUCCAAUGACUUUUUAUAAUAUAUUUGCUCCCAAUUUAAGAAUUUUCUUGCCACCUUUUUCUUUUUGCUUGAUUGAAAGCUUGAAUUCGGAGUUGUUGUUUCCUCACAUUUAUACUUUUUACUGGUGAGUGCUUGUCUGACAAAUCAUAAUAUUCAAAGUUGUAUCAUAUAUGGACAUUGUGUGUUUCCACAAGAUGGCAAGAAAAUGCACAAAAAAUUGCUCCUUGAGUGAAGAUGGUUAACUGUGCUGGUUUUCCCGGCCAUCCUGACAGAUAUUUUCCCUAUUCGAAGGAUCAGAAUUGAGUUCUCUGACCGGGUCAUGUAGUUGAGGUCACCAAAUAAUUCAACAUUUCAGUCAGUUUCGUACGUGAUGCUAGAGAUCUUACUGAGGAUGGAUGUAGUUCAAAUUUCUGUUGGAAUUGAAGACAUAAAUGAUUUAUAGAUGACCUAAACGCUGCGCUUAGAACUAAGCCAGUAUAGAAUAUUGAUCGUCACCUGCCACACGUCUAAACAAGGAUAAUUGGUUCAAGGUCACGCAAAGAUAGCUGCCAAGAAUAUCAGCUUGUUAUAUAAGGGGAACAGAAGAUCAAGAAUAUAAAAACCAUCACAGUGCCUGGGCUACAACAUGAUAUCAGUUUAGUUGUCUUCAAUUUGAUAGUUCUUGUAUUAAGUGAGUGAUGUUUUGAGUUUCAUGAUUCUAGUAAGAAUUUUCCAACCGUAUGUUCAAACACGUUACGCAUUCAUUAGUUAGAUGUAAACAUUCGAUACAUACAGAUUUUAACCAUAUUUGAAGUGUGCGCAAAUUGCAAGAUUGCUCGAAUACUAUUAUAUAAGAACAAGAUAUUGGAUGUGUUAUA